AGGACGAACGCUGGCGGCGUGCUUAACACAUGCAAGUCGAGCGGUAAGGCCUCUUCGGGGGUACACGAGCGGCGAACGGGUGAGUAACACGUGGGUGACCUGCCCUCAGCUCUGGGAUAAGCCUGGGAAACUGGGUCUAAUACUGGAUAUUCACUUCUCAUCGCAUGGUGGGUGGUGGAAGUUUUUUCGGCUGGGGAUGGGCCCGCGGCCUAUCAGCUUGUUGGUGGGUGAUGGCCUACCAAGGCGACGACGGGUA
rnacentral:rRNA from 1 species